UACAGAGGGGGCGAGCGUUAAUCGGAAUUACUGGGCGUAAAGCGUGCGCAGGCGGUUCUGAAAGUCAGCUGUGAAAGCCCCGGGCUUAACCUGGGAAUUGCGGUUGAAACUACAGGGCUAGAAUCUGGCAGAGGGGGGUGGAAUUCCACGUGUAGCAGUGAAAUGCGUAGAGAUGUGGAGGAACACCGAUGGCGAAGGCAGCCCCCUGGGCUGAGAUUGACGCUCAGGCACGAAAGCGUGGGGAGCAAACAGG
rnacentral:rRNA from 1 species